CAGUCGCCGCGGUAAUACGAGGGGGGCAAGCGUUGUUCGGAAUUAUUGGGCGUAAAGGGUGCGUAGGCGGCCCCGCAAGUCUCAUGUGAAAUCUUCAGGCUCAACUUGAAGUCUGCAUGGGAAGCUGCGGGGCUGGAGUAUGGGAGAGGUGAGUGGAAUUCCCAGUGUAGAGGUGAAAUUCGUAGGUAUUGGGAAGAACACCAGUGGCGAAGGCGGCUCGCUGGACCGACACUGACGCUGAGGCGCGAAAGCGUGGGGAGCAAACAGGAUUAGAUACCCGAGUAGUCCCUGUCUCUUAUAC
rnacentral:rRNA from 1 species